UCUGAUUGUCUACCUUUAAGACUUGUUUUGUUGUGAUGUAUAUUGUAAGCUAUAUUUCAAUGCAUAUCAGUCAAACAACAGAAAACCAAGGAGAUUCUGUCUAUAUUAUUGAAUUACAAAACUUUUUACAUCAACAUAUUGACUAAAUAUCAAAAAUAUUUAAAACAGGUGAUAAGGCUAAUAAUAAUUGUAUAUACCUCAACCAUAUUAUAACAAUUCAUUCACAAGUUAUUUCAAAUCACUCAAGAAAAUAUAACAUAAAUAUGGAGAAAAAUAUUCUCUCUCUUUAAAGAAAUGGGUGGAUGUACAAAAGAAAAAUUAUCCACCAUAAUAUGAAAAAAUACUAUAGAAAAACAACAGUACUGUUUUAUAUUACCAAAAAUGAUUGUUCUGAUUAAACUUCUAACUAAACAUGCUAAAGACAAUUUAAUCCGCACACCAGAAUAUCAGUAUACAUCUGCAGCAUUUAUCUUUAAAUUCAAUUAUAAAGUAUUUCAAAUCAAAUAACAUCAAUUAUAAAGUAUUUCAAAUCAAAUAACAUCAAUUAUCUGUUCAUCAAUUUUAAUUACCUGAGGUGAUUAAGAUAAACAUAAAAUUACUAUUGCAGCUUUUUAACUAGUUCUCCAACAUUAAUAUAGAAUCUUCUCCUCAGAACCUUUUAACUGCUUGUCAC
rnacentral:lncRNA from 1 species